rnacentral:miRNA from 1 species
AAAGUGCUUCCAUUUUGUGUGU